AGUCAUCAUCAUUUUUGCUACUCUGCUCUAUAGCUGCAAAAAUUUCAGCCACUACAAGUGACCACUCUGGAUGAAAGAAAAGCAAUGAAGUCUCAAGAUCCAUUCUCUUCUCCAAAAACAUGCAAGCAUACGAAAAUCAACACAGGAAUAUGUAAAGCCCCAGGACUAACAAACUAUCUUGCCACAGCUAAUACUGGGUCCUGAAGCACAGCACACUGGAGUCAAAGAGUCUCAUCAACUCAGCAGAGGAUCAGAACUGCUUAGAAGAGGCAGAUGAAGAGCAGCACAGUGAGAACAAACAGUGCCAAAACUGCAGUAGCUGCAUUAAGGGGAAUGGCAUUUUCAUUCUGCUGGACCAAUAAAUUCUGGUUUGCUCUAUUCCAAAAUUGUCCCCAUAAGAAUUAAUUUACU